GGGGGUGUGGCUCAGUAUUACAGCACUUGCCCGCCAUGCCCAAGGCCCUGGGCUUGAUUCCCAGCACCCCUA
rnacentral:tRNA from 1 species